GUAGCACUGACUCAUGGGCCACUCUGACCUGUGGUUCAACUCCAGUUGCUCGUAUAUGAAUAAAAAAAACACACACGCACACACGAAACAAAGCCCCUUCACCCAGAGCAAAAUGCUGACACUAUCAGAACAUCAAAGUUGUCAUCUGCAAGGAGGAAUUCUCACACUCCAACCAGGAGUUAUGUACCAUCUGUGACAGAGAGAAAUGACAGCCAAAUGGUCCCCUUUCUUUUGUUAAACCUCUAAGGAAACUGCCGGGAUUAGCAUGUUGCACUACUACUGAUGUCAGAAAAUGCAGACAUCUAGAAAUUAAAAUAAAAAAGUUCCAACUUUG